rnacentral:rRNA from 1 species
UCCUCACUGGAAUCCAUCGAUGAACCACUAUUCGACCUGUUCCUCCAACGCUUGAUCUUUGAAAGCGACUUUGAAAGACGGUGAUGCCUGGGAGAUAGUUUUUCCAGUUUAGAUAAGUUAU